CAUUUAGGUAUUAAUCAAACGAUGAAAGUAACGGAAAAUAUUUAAAUAUCAGGAUAUAUAAUAAAUAGUUUUGUUAAUAAAUUCACUCUUUUUUUUUUCUUAACACACGGGCAGAUGUUAACAAAACCUAAAUAAAACAAAAUUUACUUAGUGUGGUCCCUGUAAGAUAAGAACAAUCCCCAACAAGAAAUACGACGAAAUAAUGAAAUAUCGGUUCCAGAGACUCCGCCGAAAGAGGGUGUGGCCUGGAGAUAAGCAAAGCAAGGAAUAGUUUACUUUUGCACAUGUUACAAGACUGCAUUACAUAAUUCAAUACCACCCAAAACUUUCACGUUCCAGCAACUCAAGUUUGGAAUAUCAAUGUUCAAGCAAGUAAAGCAAGGCAACCAUCAACUUGAUCAUGAAGAAAACAUGUAAACCAAAGCACGCAAUUAUACGAGAAUAAAUAUACCAUCCGCAGGUUGCAUGCAAAAUAUAACAUUUACGUUUCUUCAAUAGUACCAUUUUAUUGCAAUCUUGAGGUUCAUAUUAGUUUUUAGUUCGUUCUCAAUGGCCAGUGCUAGAGGUACUACAAGGGUUGGAGUAAGAACAAGGGCACGAACUCCAGUUGUGGAAGAGAUAGUACCUAAUUCUGGAUGGACAGAGGACUCUGCGGGCCAUUACCUUCUAGUGGAUCUUCCCGGUAUUGCAUCAAACACCUAAUUCACUUUUGAACAGGAAAACAAAUAGAAUAUGCAUGUGAAUUUAGAAGAAUUCGAUAAACCCCAUAGAGAGACCAAUAUUAAUUUCGUUUUAGUUUUUGACUUGCUUCUUGUUUCCCUACCCAACCGAAAAACCUGUUCCAGCUUUUAAGGUGCAUGCGUGCCAUUUUUUUUUUUUGAACCGAAGAACUAUUUAAUUCACAAAUGCAAGGACUUCUUGUACAGUUCUCAAUAAGGAUUGGUGCCGUGAAAACAAGAUUAACUCAUGAUUUUUUUUUUAUCAUCUUGCUUCAGAUUUCAGGAAGGAGGAGAUGAAGCUCCAGGUUAAUAGCUAUGGCCGUAUUGUUGUAUCAGGAGAGAGGAACUUAAAUGAGUGGAAACAUGUUCAUUUUCGGCUGACUUUUCCAGCACCGCUGAACUCUGAUAUGGAUAAGAUAGCUGGAAAGUUUGAUGGUGGAAUCCUUUAUGUCACUGUCCCCAAGCAAGUAACACAACAGAACAAAGAAAGUGAGACUGCGAAAGUUGGAAAUGGAAAAGUUGAAAGAGCAGAAGAGAAAGAUAGCCAUCAGCAUGGAAAUGGUGAAGUUGAAAGAGCAGCAGAAAAUGAUAGCCAUGCACCCAAUGCUGAUGAGGGGAGGAUAGGUCCCAAUCAGCAUGACAACCAUAUAGAGCAUGAAGUAAAAAGACAUGAAAAUGAGCACAUUGGAGAAUUUCCUGAACAAGUAAUAAGGAAUUGGCAUCAAGAAUCCAUGUUAAGAAGUGCAGUGGGGGUUUUGAGGAAAAACAAAGGAAUUGUAGUAACAGCUGUUAUAGCAUUUUCCUUGGGGUUGUUCGUAUCUCACAAAUUCAACAGCACAGGUCCUUGACCUGAAUCCACAAAUGUAUAUCCUUUCAUUUCAGGUCAUUUGCCUUUUAGAUUUAUGUAAAUAGAAUAAACUAUAAAGUAUCAUGCAGAUAUUCAAACAUUUAUAAUAAUAUCUCUGCUUUAUCCUUUUUUCUUUACAGUCUUAAAAUCUGCAUUCACAAUAUGAUUUGAUUUAUCAUGUCUACAAUCCUUUGUCACAUUAAAUAAAUGAAGUUAUUGAAGGAAUUUUAAGAGGGCUCAUUGGGAUAGGUUCCUGUCUGGACCUUCAUAUACCCCAUCAUCACCAUUAUAUUUGCUCAUACUAUGGUUUAAUAUCGAAUGGCUACCAUAUGAAAGACUCAAAGUCUCACCUCGUAAUUAAUUCGCACAGAAUUAUGAAUCUAAUGGCUACCAAAUGAAAAGACUCAGUCUCACCUCACAAUUAAUUCACACAGAAUUAUGAAUCUAAUUGCCUUAAUUGUUCUUGCCAAAGAGCAUAUAUAACUUUAUUAUCAAUUUAUGGCAAUCUGAUCAAAGUCAAGUAUUGUCUUUUCAGUGCUAAUAAUCUAAUCUAAACUAAGUAUUUUGAACCUAAUAUAAAUUUCUUUAUCUCUGCUUCCUCGGCCCUCAACUAAGUUAAAGGGAGAAGCAAAGAAAGAGGUUAUGCAUGCAUAUUAAAUAUAGCAGCAGGUGCAUCACAUCAAGGCAGCCUUAGAGAUGCAAUCACAAUAAGGUCAUCUUGCUUAAAAACCUUACUCCAUGUUCUUCUUCCUCAAAUGGCCAGUUCUUCUCUCAAGCUACUAUUAAACAAUCUUAUGUGGUUUUCUAUACUGUGAUGAAUCCUAAAAAAAUAAAAAUAAAGCUAUAAACCAGAUGACAUCACCUCUGCUUUUCAACACCUCCUUUGCAUGAUUUUUUAAACUACAGUGUUUUUUCACUGACCUCAUCCUGUAUCUUGAUCCAAAUUAUGCUGAUUGGAAGAGCAUCAUAUCAUCAAAAUUUACUUUUAUCUUAAAGGAUCAGAUUCCGCAAGUAGUCCACCAAUUUAAAAAAAGAGCAAAAGAUUGUUGAUUCGGGAAAGAGAAGCUUCUUUGGCAUCUGUGCCAUAAAGUUGUGAAUUGUGACCUAAUGUUCCUAACUCCUUAGUGCUUAUCUAACAUAACGAAAUAAAGUUUCCCCUUCCUGAUCUUAACAGAGUCACUUUGCUUGCAGAACUUGAAUUGUGUAGCUACUUCCUUGUCUUAACAGAGUUACAUAAACUAUUUUCCUUCUUACUUCUGCUUACUUUCAAAAUAUAUUAAUAUUACUUCCAAAAGAUUUUUCAAAUUUCUUAUUAAAAGGUGGUUGGUGGAUAAGAAUCAUACAAUACCUCAUGAGCCAAUUCCAAAAUGCCGAAAAGAAAGAGCUUGUCGAGCACAGUUGGGAUAUAGUAGAAUUGUACCUCCUCUGGGAGCUUCCUGAACACUAGUAUAACCAAUAGACAAUAGUUGCUUGCUGUUGCUUGAAUUAGAAAAGGAAAGGUGGUUAGAGUUUUGAGAUUUAGAUGUUGACAAGCGAUGCAUGGUGAAGAAUAAGGAACCAAAGUAGAGGAGGGGUAUAAAGGUGAUGCUUUGUCGUCGAACUUUAUUCAAAAUGCAAGUGCUUUUUGACAAAAAGGAAGGGCCCGCGGUUGGGACGCGGAAUCAUGUUCUUCCUGCCAUGGCUUUUAACUUCCUUUGACAAUUUGAUAAGGUUAUUGGUCUAAAGACCCUAUAGUUAAGGAGGGCUAGUCACAAACCUAUGUUCAAACACUGUUAUGAAGAGUGGUGGACAUAGACAUGGACAUUAGUAAAGGUUUUUCAUAAAUGACUAUUAGUACACACUUUAGAUCUCAGUCUCAUGAAUACUUGCUCUUGAAUGUAAGUAUAUAAUAUUUCACAGUACAAUAGUACCUGUAAACCAAUAACUUUAUGUUACUGAUCAAGAGCACAAACAAGAGAUCUAAAGUGGGAGAAACAGAGAGCAAAAGUAAAGUUUCUCUCCAUCGGUCUCUCCUACUUCUAGUUGAAGGGGAAUGGUAUAACAAAAAACAAAAAGUAAUUAUGAAAAUGAUAUCAAGAUAUAGAGAAGAUUUUUAAGUAAAUCCAAAGUUAACAAAUUAUUACACAAAAACUCUUCUCUGAAAUCAAAUCUAAUAUAAUGAUCACAAGGCGCACAUGUGCAUUAGCAAUCAAUGUCUUAAACCUAGAUAUAGAAAUUUAGAAUAAGGACUUUUUGUCUGUGACUGGGACAUUAGGAAUAGAGAAAGGGAAAGGUGCUUGGGUCAUUCUCGCAAGCCAUUGAAAUAAAUAAUAAAAUAUAGAAAACCUUAAUCCUAAUAAUAUAUUCUGGAAAAAAAAUAUAUUAAGAAAAAGGGUGAGGUGGAUAACGAAGGGUGAGUGGAGGGAAUUGGAAAAAAGUUGGAAAGAAAUCCUUCGCGAGAGAGCAUGGAAUCUAACCUGCCUCCCCACUGUCAUCACAAACAAACUUCAAAAACCGUGCUCCAUCCAAAAAUAAACAUAAUUAAAAACAAAAAGCACCGCACAACGUAAAACGAACCUUACCUUACCUUACUUCUCUCUUCGAAACGCUGAUCACAGUCUGUGUUCAUCCACAUUUCGCGCGCGCAUCACCCGAGAUGAGAAGAUGAUGACGACGCCGUUUCAGCAACCGCCCCAAACCGUACGGAGAC
rnacentral:lncRNA from 1 species